UCCCAGUGAUGCUGUUCCUAUAGACCGUUUCUGACCCUCCUCUGUGGGCUUGGUGCGGGGGGAGAGAAGAGCCAGGGUCCGAGA